CACGUAGGGGGCGAGCGUUGUCCGGAUUUAUUGGGCGUAAAGAGCUCGUAGGUGGUUCAGUAAGUCGAGUGUGAAACCUCCAGGCUCAACCUGGAGACGCCACCCGAUACUGCUGUGACUAGAGUCCAGUAGGGGAGCACGGAAUUCAUGGUGUAGCGGUGAAAUGCGCAGAUAUCAGGAAGAACACCCGUGGCGAAGGCGGCUCUCUGGGACGGUACUGACGCUGAGACGCGAAAGCGUGGGGAGCGAACAGG
rnacentral:rRNA from 1 species